rnacentral:rRNA from 1 species
AAUGAACGUUGGCGGCGUGGAUUAGGCAUGCAAGUCGAGCGCUCACCCGCAAGGGUGGGAGCGGCGAAAGGGAGAGUAACGCGUGGGUAUCUGCCCUCGGGACUGGGAUAGCUGCGGGAAACUGCAGGUAAUACCAGAUGACGUCCCCGGACCAAAGGUGUGAUUCCGCCUGAGGAUGAGCCCGCGUCCUAUUAGCUAGUUGGUAGGGUAAUGGCCUACCAAGGCAAUGAUGGGUACUGGGUGUGAGAGCACGACCCAGCUCACUGGGACUGAGACACUGCCCAGACACCUACGGGUGGCUGCAGUCGAGAAUCUUCGGCAAUGGGCGAAAGCCUGACCGAGCGACGCCGCGUGUGGGAUGAAGGCCUUCGGGUUGUAAACCGCUGUCAGAGGGGAGGAAUGGGCGGAGGGUAAUCUCUUCGUUUUGACCUAUCCUCAGAGGAAGUACGGGCUAAGUUCGUGCCAGCCGCCGCAGUAACAC